rnacentral:misc_RNA from 1 species
AAAAUGCGAUAAGUAAUGUCAAUUGCAGAAUUCAGUGAAUCAUCGAAUCUUUGAACGCACAUUGCGCCCGCCAGUAUUCUGGCGGGCAUGCCUGUUCGAGCGUCAUUUCAACCCUCAAGCCCCCGGGUUUGGUGUUGGGGAUCGGGCUGCGGUUCUACCGCGUCCCGGCCCCGAAAUCUAGUGGCGGUCUCGCUGCAGCCUCCAUUGCGUAGUAGCUAACACCUCGCAACUGGAACGCGGCGCGGCCAAGCCGUUAAACCCCCAACUUCUGAAUGUUGACCUCGGAUCAGGUAGGAAUACCCGCUGAACUUAAGC